UAACCCUCGCAAGGGAUUCAUUUUCCCGAGCGGACGUGGAGGUCGCCGGUCUUUUCGAGGAUCGGCCCCUCCGAAAUGCAUUAGCUGGCACGCUGCCGGCGCGUGGUGUUGAUAAUUGUCUACGCCUGGUCGUCUGCGAGCGCGUCGCCGCCAAUCGUCCUUCGUCGGACAACCAAACUCAAA
rnacentral:misc_RNA from 1 species